rnacentral:rRNA from 1 species
UGAAUACGAGACGCUACGGCGUCGAAGCAGUCUAGGUCAGACUUCCAAGAAAAGCUCGCAAUGUCAUAAACAAAUAAUGCCUGUACCAUAACCGACACAGGUGGGUAGGUAGAGUAUACUAAGGGGCGCGAGAUAACUCUCUCUAAGGAACUCGGCAAAAUGACUCCGUAACUUCGGGAGAAGGAGUGCCUUAUUUAUAAGGUUGCAAUAACAAGAUCCAAGCAACUGUUUAUCAAAAACACAGGUCUCCGCUAAGUCGUAAGACGAUGUAUGGGGGCUGACGCCUGCCCAGUGCCAGAAGGUUAAAGAAGUUGGUUAGCAUUCGCGAAGCUGAUAACUGAAGCCCUGGUGAACGGCGGCCGUAACUAUAACGGUCCUAAGGUAGCGAAAUUCCUUGUCGGGUAAGUUCCGACCCGCACGAAAGGCGUAAUGAUUUGGAUACUGUCUCGGAGAGGGGCUCGGUGAAAUAGACUUGUCUGUGAAGAUGCGGACUACCUGCACCUGGACAGAAAGACCCUAUGAAGCUUUACUGUAACUUGAAAUUGAAAUUGGACUUUAUUUGCGCAGCAUAGGUGGGAGGCGUUGAGAGUAUUCUUGCGGGAAUAUUGGAGCCAUCAGUGAGAUACCACUCUUGUAAUGUUAGAUUUCUAACUUUGUAUCAUUAUCUGGUCAGAGAACAGUUUCAGGCGGGCAGUUUGACUGGGGCGGUCGCCUCCCAAACGGUAACGGAGGCGUACAAAGGUUUCCUCUGAACGGGUAGAAAUCGUAUCUAGAGUGUAAAGGCAUAAGGAAGCUUGACUGUGAGACCUACAAGUCGAGCAGGGACGAAAGUCGGUCUUAGUGAUCUGACGGUGCUGAGUGGAAAGGCCGUCACUCAACGGAUAAAAGUUACUCUAGGAUAACAGGCUGAUCUCCCCCAAGAGUUCACAUCGACGGGGAGGUUUGGCACCUCGAUGUCGGCUCAUCGCAUCCUGGGGCGGUAGUACGUCCCAAGGGUUGGGCUGUUCGCCCAUGAAAGCGGUACGCGAGCUGGGUUCAGAACGUCGUGAGACAGUUCGGUCCAUAUCCGGUGUAGGCGUUAGAAUAUUGAGAGGAGCCUUCUUUAGUACGAGAGGACCGAGAAGGACAUACCUCUGGUGUACCAGUUAUCGUGCCAACGGUAAACGCUGGGUAGCUAUGUAUGGAGAGGAUAACCGCUGAAAGCAUCUAAGUGGGAAGCCCACCUCAAGAUAAGUAUUCUCAU